UUCCUUGUCCGUCCUUUUUGUUUACUUUUUUGGAAUAGGCAGCUGUGGGACCCACUGGUGUCCCACACACCACUAACCUAGCUAGUGUCGUUACGUGUCAUGCGAAAACGAGCGCUGACUCUCCUCGAGCUCCGAGUUGUACGAACGGUUCAAAAGGGUAACGGAUUGGCUACUUCCCUGCCACCAGCCCCGUGGCUGGUGGUGGGUGCUCUGUGGGCCCCAUCAUGACGUAGGUCUUUCAUCCAUUUUUAAAGAUCAUUCUAGUGCUUUGUCUCAAAAAUGAUAGGGAUAUAAAUCUCAGGUGGACCACACCACAGGAAAACAGUAGUAAUUGAAUAUCCACUAUUUAAAUCCUCCUAAGGCCCAGUGUACUGUUUAUUUGACAUUCAAUCUGUUGAUUAGGUCAUACAGACUCAGAUGAAGGGAAAAAACAAAGAUCAGCUUGAUCCAAAACUUUUAUGGCCCCCAAAAAGCUUUUAAUGGUCGACUUUCAUUGAACACUGUUUCUUGUAAUGUGGUCCACCUGAGAUUGGGAUAUAACUCAUUUUUUUUUUGUAUCAUAUCAUAAAAUGAUCUGUGAAAUUGGAUGAACGGCAUGGAUGAAACACAUACAUCAUGGUGGUGCCCACAGAGCACCAACCACCAGCCACGGGGCUGAUGGCAGGGGGAGUAGCCAAUCCGUUUCCGUUCAAAGGAGAUCAAAUAUAUGUGCCCCAGAAUUAUGUAAUUAUUAUAUUCACACCGCUCAUCCAUUUGGCAAUCAUUUUAAAUCUUGAUACCUAAAAUGAAUCAUAUCUAAUACUCACGUAGACCACACCGCAGUAGGGACAAUGAUGUUAAGAAGUUUAUUUUCCAGCUGUUCGUAAGGUCACAGAUACUUGGAUGAAGAGGAAAAAAGAAUAUCAUAUUGACUCCCAUAAGGGUAAACGUUCAAUCCUCCACUUCUUUUUGGAGUGUGGUCCACUUGAUCGUUGGAUCUGUCUUAUUUUUAGUAUCAAACCUUACCACGAGCUCGCCAAGUGGACGGAUGGUUAGGAUAUUACUCCUACCUUAAUAUGGUACCCACAGAACUUGGUGACGUCAACAUACCCACCAAGUCGGUGGUGUGUGGUACACCAGCCAAUCCGCUUCCGUAAAAUCGACUCCGUACAUCACCUUUUUAUCGUCGAUUCUAGGAAAUGGGAGGAAUAAAAAACUCAGCGAGAUCCACCACUCACGUGAACAAUGGGGAUGGAUGCCAACCAGGGGUUUGUGUUGGGGCGCCACCAUGAUGGCAUCUUUCAUCGAACCCGGUAGUCAGACAUGACACCUGAGGAUGAAGAGAAUAAGAAAAUUAGCCCCUUAAUUCUAUCAUGACCCCUCUAUAAGCGACGUUGGUGCUCUGCGGGACCAUUGUGAUUAAUGUGUUUUUAUCCAUGCGCAUUUUGCCGUCUCAUUUUUCAGCACAUGAGCCCAAAAAUGAGGCAGCUCCAAAAAUCAGGUGGACACCCAUCAUUGAAAACAUUUCUAGUCCCACUAUAAUGUUUAUUUGACAUUCAACCCGUUUAUUAGGUCACAGAGAUGUGGAUGAAGGGAAAGCACUGACAUCAUCUUACAACUUUUGUGGCCCACCAUAAGUUUUUAACGGUGGUUGAUUACAUUUUUUCAGUAAGUAUGUUCCACCUAAGUUUUGGGUCUGCCUCAUUUUUAGGCUCAUGCCCUGAAAUGAAAUGGCAAAAUGGAUGGACGGUGGAAGAUAAAAUACAUGCAUCAUGAGGGGUUCACAGCUAUUCUUGCACCCUCCGUCUUGGAGGGAUUACUUCCAAAUCCGAGUCCGGGUAACCUGUCAAGGUUAGUUUUUGGUAAGGAAAUUGAAGUUAAUAGCUUCUAACACCCGACGGACGGUUGCGAUCUUUCACUUCUGUACCAUGUUCGCGCUGGAGGUGGGGUCCACAGAUGGCCAAAACAAUUUUUUUUUAGAGGGUACCCAUGGCAAAUUCACUCCGUCAGUUUCGCAACAGUCCAAAACAGGACACGAGUCUAGAACUCAGGUAGAUCCCAAACUCAUGUAGGCCAGACGACGAAAAAGUGAAAAAAAAUGCGGGAUUAAACGCCCACCAUUGGAAAAUGGGGCCACAUAAGUUUUGUACCUGAUGAUAUCUUUUCACACCAACCAUUGGAGACCUUGUGGGGGCCAUGUCGGUUUUGUAUCAGUAUGAUAUCUUUGCGUUCAGUUUAUCUGUAUGGUAAUAACCCAAUGAACGGUUUGGGAGGCGUGUAAAUAUCAUGGUUGGCUCGGGGAAGUUUUCAACCGUGGACGUUUUGGUUCCCUCCGUAUUGUUUUUUGUGGCUUGCAUGACUUUUAGGUCUGCCUUAUCUUUAUAAUCAAACUGAUGGUCAAAGUGGAUUUCUCAGGGCCAAGACUUCCUACGGCCAGAGGCAGAGGCAGUCCGCUCCCCUCUGAAUCUAUAAUUUCGCUGAUAGCAUUUGUCCCUUUGCGGACUGUAUUUGUCAUGGACCUGUCAUUAAGAAGACAAAAGUUUUGACCUAUUAAUUGUGGUGGGUCCACUUUUCUGCGAGUCAAGCUCUUGUCCUUCGUGGUCAGGCCUACCGGACACUGCCAACCCAUCCACCCUCCAUUCACUCAUCCGCGAAAUUUAUAAGCAGUCUGUCGUGGACGUGGCCAACCAUGUCAAUGAGUUGGAUCACCUCAAGUUGGGCCC